GACGAACGCUGGCGGCGUGCUUAACACAUGCAAGUCGAACGGAAAGGCCCUGCUUUUGUGGGGUGCUCGAGUGGCGAACGGGUGAGUAACACGUGAGUAAACUGCACUUGACUUUGGGAUAACUUCAGGAAACUGGGGCUCAUACCGGAUAGGAGCUCCUGCUGCAUGGGGGGGGUUGGAAAGUUUCGGCGGUUUGGGAUGGACUCGCGGCUUAUCAGCUUGUUGGUGGGGUAGUGGCUUACCAAGGCUUUGACGGGUAGCCGGCCUGAGAGGGUGACCGGGCACAUGGGGACUGAGAUACGGCCCAGACUGCAACGGGACGCAGCGGGGGGGAAUAUUGCGGAGUGGGCGGAAGCCUGAUGCGGCAAUGCCGCGUGCGGGAAGAUGUCCUUCGGGUGGUAAACCGAUGUGUCAGGUGACGAAGCGUGAUUGACGGUAAUGGGUAAAGAAGCACCGGCUAACUACGUG
rnacentral:rRNA from 1 species